rnacentral:rRNA from 1 species
UGGUGUAGCGGUGGAAUGCGCAGAUAUCAGGAGGAACACCGAUGGCGAAGGCAGAUCUCUGGGCCGUAACUGACGCUGAGGAGCGAAAGCAUGGGGAGCGAACAGGAUUAGAUACCCUGGUAGUCCAUGCCGUAAACGUUGGGAACUAGAUGUGGGGGCCAUUCCACGGUCUCCGUGUCGCAGCUAACGCAUUAAGUUCCCCGCCUGGGGAGUACGGCCGCAAGGCUAAAACUCAAAGGAAUUGACGGGGGCCCGCACAAGCGGCGGAGCAUGCGGAUUAAUUCGAUGCAACGCGAAGAACCUUACCAAGGCUUGACAUAUACCGGAAACGUCCAGAGAUGGUCGCCCCGCAAGGUCGGUAUACAGGUGGUGCAUGGUUGUCGUCAGCUCGUGUCGUGAGAUGUUGGGUUAAGUCCCGCAACGAGCGCAACCCUCGUUCUAUGUUGCCAGCACGUUAUGGUGGGAACUCAUAGGAGACUGCCGGGGUCAACUCGGAGGAAGGUGGGGAUGACGUCAAAUCAUCAUGCCCCUUAUGUCUUGGGCUUCACGCAUGCUACAAUGGCCGGUACAAAGGGCUGCGAUACCGUAAGGUGGAGCGAAUCCCAAAAAGCCGGUCUCAGUUCGGAUUGAGGUCUGCAACUCGACCUCAUGAAGUCGGAGUCGCUAGUAAUCGCAGAUCAGCAACGCUGCGGUGAAUACGUUCCCGGGCCUUGUACACACCGCCCGUCAAGUCAUGAAAGUCGGUAACACCCGAAGCCAGUGGCCUAACCCUUGUGGAUGGAGCUG